rnacentral:rRNA from 1 species
AGUGAACGCUGGCGGUAGGCCUAACACAUGCAAGUCGAACGGCAGCACAGUAAGAGCUUGCUCUUACGGGUGGCGAGUGGCGGACGGGUGAGGAAUACAUCGGAAUCUACUUUUUCGUGGGGGAUAACGUAGGGAAACUUACGCUAAUACCGCAUACGACCUACGGGUGAAAGCAGGGGAUCUUCGGACCUUGCGCGAUUGAAUGAGCCGAUGUCGGAUUAGCUAGUUGGCGGGGUAAAGGCCCACCAAGGCGACGAUCCGUAGCUGGUCUGAGAGGAUGAUCAGCCACACUGGAACUGAGACACGGUACAGACUCCUACGGGAGGCAGCAGUGGGGAAUAUUGGACAAUGGGCGCAGGCCUGAUCCAGCCAUACCGCGUGGGUGAAGAAGGCCUUCGGGUUGUAAAGCCCUUUUGUUGGGAAAGAAGAGCAGCAGGUUAAUACCCCGCUGUUCUGACGGUACCCAAAGAAUAAGCACCGGCUAACUUCAUG